AAUGGAAAUGCUGGGUCAUAUGUAACCCAUGUUUAACCUUUUGAGGAACUCUCAGACUUUUCUAAAGUGGCUGUACACAUUGCAUUGCCCCCAGCAGU
rnacentral:pre_miRNA from 1 species